UACGUAGGGUGCAAGCGUUAAUCGGAAUUACUGGGCGUAAAGCGUGCGCAGGCGGUUUGGUAAGACAGAUGUGAAAUCCCCGGGCUCAACCUGGGACCUGCAUUUGUGACUGCAUCGCUGGAGUGCGGCAGAGGGGGAUGGAAUUCCGCGUGUAGCAGUGAAAUGCGUAGAUAUGCGGAGGAACACCGAUGGCGAAGGCAAUCCCCUGGGCCUGCACUGACGCUCAUGCACGAAAGCGUGGGGAGCAAACAGG
rnacentral:rRNA from 1 species